rnacentral:tRNA from 1 species
GGGGUUGUGGCUCAGUGGUAGAGCACUUGCCUAGCAUGUGUGAGGCCCUGGGUCCGAUCCCUAGCACCA